rnacentral:misc_RNA from 1 species
GAUGAAGAACGUAGCGAAAUGCGAUAAGUAAUGUGAAUUGCAGAAUUCAGUGAAUCAUCGAAUCUUUGAACGCACAUUGCGCCCGCCAGUAUUCUGGCGGGCAUGCCUGUUCGAGCGUCAUUUCAACCAUCAAGCCCCAGGCUUGUGUUGGGGACCUGCGGCUGCCGCAGGCCCUGAAAACCAGUGGCGGGCUCGCUGUCACACCGGGCGUAGUAGAUUUUAUCUCGCUCAGGGCGUGCUGCGGGUUCCGGCCAUUAAAAAGCCUUUUUUACCCAAGGUUGACCUCGGAUCAGGUAGGAAGACCCGCUGAACUUAAGCAUAUCAAUAAGCGGAGGA